GCCGGAAAAAUGCCUUUGGCGGCUUACCUGAUUUGUAAUCAGGGUGUGGCGGGUUCGAUUCCCGUUUCCGGCU
rnacentral:tRNA from 1 species